rnacentral:lncRNA from 1 species
UCUCUAAGCACUGCAAUCAAUCAAGUGCUGUUCAGGAUUCCAGCCUGCAGAGAGCACGCAAACCUGGGCACUCAAGGGGCAGCUCCUAUGGUCUCAAUGCCAUCAGCACCUUGACACGGGACUGCGACUUCUAUAGCCAAUCGGCCCUGCAAUAAAGCACCAUGAGGGUCAGCUGGGUCUGACCACCUUUCUGGGGCCCAAGUAAACAUUCGUGUUUGGUGGAAAACAAAUACGACUCACAUUUUAUUGUAGCUCUACAACAAGUGAUAAUUCCAGAAUUGGUGCUUGGGAAAUCACUGUGACAUCACUGAAGGUCAACUAUAGAUACCUGAGACUCCCUGGGGUGACCCGGACAUGUGUCUGUUCUACCACUCCAGCAUCUUGAGCAGCAAAUGAGGUGCAUCUUUGAAUAUGAGGGUUGAAAAGCCGAUCGACGGUCAAGUUCUGAAAUAAACAGAAAAACUACCAGAUCAGAGAAGGAGCCUGAGCUGAUCGUACAAAGUCAAGCACAGUUGGAGCCGGGGCGUUCAAAAGAUUCCUGCUGGUCCCCAGUAAUAACCAAAGCAGUCAAGGAUGGAGGGCAGCUCAAGGGCCUGUGCUCACUUUCUCCCUACCCUUUACAGAUGUGUCAUCGGUUGUUUCUGCAAAUGUUUGAUGUUGCUCAGAACACUGUGGGACGGAGUCAUGUGUAAAUCACAAACAGUCUUAACACACU